AGGACACGAGGAAACAAAGUUGAGUCCCAUAUUCUCCCCAUUAUGUCUGUGACAUAACGUUGAGUCUGUCACACAGUAUAAAUAUUCAUAGGAUUCUGUCAGACAGUCUGAGAAAUGAGUUUUAUGAGUGAUGUUGACUGAGAACCUAUACAGCCCACAGCCUAUACAAUAAAGUUGAUUCACCCCAAGCUGUGUCUGUGUGUGUGUGUGUGUAAAUAUUCAUGGCGUGUGUCUGUGAGAUGUAGCAUCUUCCUGAGGGCUGCGUGGGACAGGAACACCUCCUCGGAAGUUGGGGAUGAGAACAUAAAUAAAUAAAAGUCCCUCAACUCACACUCCCCCAACACUUGUGUGUGUGUGUAUGUGUGUCUUUGUGUGUGUGUGUGUGUGUGUUUGUGCCAUAACCCUGCCACUGCUCUCUCCAUCUUUAUGAGUGAUGAGUUAGUUUGACUGAGGUGUUACCCCAGGGCUGUAGAAUGAUGAUUUAGUUUGACUGAGGUGUUACCCCAGGACUGUAGAAUGAUGGGUUAGUUUGACUGAGGUGUUACCCCAGGGCUGUAGAAUGAUGAGUUAGUUUGACUGAGGUGUUACCCCAGGGCGGUAGAAUGAUGAGUUAGUUUGACUGAGGUGUUACCCCAGGGCUGUAGAAUGAUGAUUUAGUUUGACUGAGGUGUUACCCCAGGGCUGUAGAAUGAUGAGUUAGUUUGACUGAGGUGUUACCCCAGGGCUGUAGAAUGAUGAGUUAGUUUGACUGAGGUGUUACCCCAGGGCGGUAGAAUGAUGAGUUAGUUUGACUGAGGUGUUACCCCAGGGCUGUAGAAUGAUGAUUUAGUUUGACUGAGGUGUUACCCCAGGUCUGUAGAAUGAUGAGUUAGUUUGACUGAGGUGUUACCCCAGGGCUGUAGAAUGAUGAGUUAGUUUGACUGAGGUGUUACCCCAGGGCUGUAGAAUGAUGAGUUAGUUUGACUGAGGUGUUACCCCAGGGCUGUAGAAUGAUGAGUUAGUUUGACUGAGGUGUUACCCCAGGGCUGUAGAAUGAUGAGUUAGUUUGACUGAGGUGUUACCCCAGGGCGGUAGAAUGAUGAGUUAGUUUGACUGAGGUGUUACCCCAGGGCGGUAGAAUGAUGAGUUAGUUUGACUGAGGUGUUACCCCAGGGCUGUAGAAUGAUGAGUUUUUCAGAAUGUCUUGUUUAUCUAGGAACUGAUCCCAAGUCAGCCUUUACGUCUCCCUAUAUAUAUAUAUAUAUCUCGUGACUAGGGCCGGGAUUCAAUCAGAUCGUGGAAAAUUCUGAUCAGAUUUGGAAAACUGUCCAUUUAAAGGUCAUUCCGAUUGAGCCGACAUAUGCAGGGUUUACCGUGAAUGUGGUCUUCGCCAAAGUGGGAACAUUGCUUAGCAGUUGUUG